rnacentral:rRNA from 1 species
AGAGUUUGAUCCUGGCUCAGGAUGAACGCUGGCGGUGUGCCUCACACAUGCAAGUCGAACGAGGUAGCAAUACCUAGUGGCGGACGGGUGAGUAACGCGUGGGAAUCUGCCUUUAGGUGGGGGAUAACUGACCGAAAGGUUAGCUAAUACCGCAUAUGCGUACAUUUCGACAGAGGUGUACGUAAAAGGAGCAAUUCGCCUGAAGAUGAGCCCGCGUCCGAUUAGCUAGUUGGUAGGGUAAAAGCCUACCAAGGCUACGAUCGGUAGCUGGUCUGAGAGGAUGAUCAGCCACAAUGGGACUGAGACACGGCCCAUACUCCUACGGGAGGCAGCAGUGGGGAAUUUUACGCAAUGGGGGAAACCCUGACGUAGCGACACCGCGUGAGCGAAGAAGCCCUUUGGGGUGUAAAGCUCUGUCGGCAGGAACGAAACAAAUGACGGUACCUGCAAAGGAAGCAUCGGCUAACUACGUGCCAGCAGCCGCGGUAAGACGUAGGAUGCGAGCGUUGUCCGGAUUUAUUGGGCGUAAAGAGUUCGUAGGCGGUUUGUUAAGUCUGGUGUUAAAGAUCGGGGCUCAACCCCGGGAGUGCACUGGAUACUGGCAGACUGGAGUGCAGCAGAGGCAAGCGGAAUUCCCAGUGUAGCGGUGAAAUGCGUAGAUAUUGGGAAGAACACCAGUGGCGUAAGCGGCUUGCUGGGCUGUAACUGACGCUGAGGAACGAAAGCCAGGGGAGCGAAUGGGAUUAGAUACCCUGGUAGUCCAA